rnacentral:rRNA from 1 species
CCCGCUGAACUUAAGCAUAUCAAUAAGCGGAGGAAAAGAAACCAACAGGGAUUGCCUCAGUAACGGCGAGUGAAGCGGCAAGAGCUCAAAUUUGAAAUCUGGCUUCCUCUUUUGGGGCCCGAGUUGUAAUUUGCAGAGGAUGCUUUGGGUGUGGUUGCGGUCUAAGUUUCCUGGAAUGGGGCAUCAUAGAGGGUGAGAAUCCCGUCUGGGACCGCUCGGCCACGCCCGUGUAAAGCUCCUUCGACGAGUCGAGUUGUUUGGGAAUGCAGCUCUAAAUGGGUGGUAAAUUUCAUCUAAAGCUAAAUAUUGGCCGGAGACCGAUAGCGCACAAGUAGAGUGAUCGAAAGAUGAAAAGCACUUUGAAAAGAGAGUUAAACAGCAUGUGAAAUUGUUGAAAGGGAAGCGCUUGCGACCAGACUCGCUCGCGGAGGCUCAGCCGGCAUGCUUUGGCGGUGCACUCCUCCGUGAUCGAGCCAGCGUCGGUUCUGAUGGUUGGUUAAAGGCCCCUGGAAUGUGUCGUCUUUUGGGACGUCUUAUAGCCAAGGGUGCAAUGCAGCCUGUCGGGACCGAGGAACGCGCUCCGGCACGGACGCUGGCAUAAUGGUCGUAAGCGACCCGUCUUGAAACACGG